rnacentral:rRNA from 1 species
GGCUCAGAUUGAACGCUGGCGGCAGGCCUAACACAUGCAAGUCGAACGGUAGCACAGAGGAGCUUGCUCCUUGGGUGACGAGUGGCGGACGGGUGAGUAAUGUCUGGGAAACUGCCCGAUGGAGGGGGAUAACUACUGGAAACGGUAGCUAAUACCGCAUAACGUCGCAAGACCAAAGAGGGGGACCUUCGGGCCUCUUGCCAUCGGAUGUGCCCAGAUGGGAUUAGCUAGUAGGUGGGGUAACGGCUCACCUAGGCGACGAUCCCUAGCUGGUCUGAGAGGAUGACCAGCCACACUGGAACUGAGACACGGUCCAGACUCCUACGGGAGGCAGCAGUGGGGAAUAUUGCACAAUGGGCGCAAGCCUGAUGCAGCCAUGCCGCGUGUAUGAAGAAGGCCUUCGGGUUGUAAAGUACUUUCAGCGAGGAGGAAGGCGUUGUGGUUAAUAACCGCAACGAUUGACGUUACUCGCAGAAGAAGCACCGGCUAACUCCGUGCCAG